rnacentral:rRNA from 1 species
AGUGAACGCUGGCGGCAGGCCUAAUACAUGCAAGUCGAACGAAAACACAGUAAGAUCUUUCUUCUACGGGUGGCGACUGACGGACGGGUGAGGCAUACAUCGCCAUCUUCUUUUUCUUGGGUGACAACGGAGGACAGCAUCUGCUAAUACCGAAUAUGUUCUACGGCUGAGUUCAGGAGUUCAUCGCGCCUUUCGUGUCUCUUUUAGCCGAUGUCGGAUUAGCUAGUUGGCUGGGUAAAGGCCCACCAAGGCAACGAUGCGUAGCUGAUCUGAGAGGAUGAUCGGCCACACUGGAACUGAGACACGGUCCAGACUCCUACGGGAGGCAGCAGUAGGGAAUAUUGCGCAAUGGGCGAAAGCCUGACGCAGCCAUGCCGCGUGAGUGAAGAAGGUCUUCGGGUCGUAAAGCUCUGUUAUUAGGAAAGAAAAGCAGCAUGAGUAAACAUGGCUGUCUUGACGGUACCUAAUGAGAAAGCAACGGCUAACUUCGUG